rnacentral:rRNA from 1 species
GAUGAACGCUGGCGGCGUGCCUAAUACAUGCAAGUCGAGCGAACAGACGAGGAGCUUGCUCCUCUGACGUUAGCGGCGGACGGGUGAGUAACACGUGGAUAACCUACCUAUAAGACUGGGAUAACUUCGGGAAACCGGAGCUAAUACCGGAUAAUAUAUUGAACCGCAUGGUUAAUAGUGAAAGACGGUUUUGCUGUCACUUAUAGAUGGAUCCGCGCCGCAUUAGCUAGUUGGUAAGGUAACGGCUUACCAAGGCGACGAUGCGUAGCCGGCCUGAGAGGGUGAUCGGCCACACUGGAACUGAGACACGGUCCAGACUCCUACGGGAGGCAGCAGUAGGGAAUCUUCCGCAAUGGGCGAAAGCCUGACGGAGCAACGCCGCGUGAGUGAUGAAGGUCUUCGGAUCGUAAAACUCUGUUAUUAGGGAAGAACAAAUGUGUAAGUAACUAUGCACGUCUUGACGGUACCUAAUCAGAAAGCCACGGCUAACUACGUG